ACAAACUUGUGAAAUUGAUACAUACAACAAAUUGGAUGGAUCUCAACAGCAUUAUGCUAGGUGAAAAAGGCAAUCUCAAUAGAUUACAUACUAUAUUAUUCCAUGUAUAUAACAUUCUUAAAAUGACAAAAUUUUACUGGUGAACAGAUGAGUGGUUACCAGAGGCUCCUCCGGAGGA